rnacentral:rRNA from 1 species
AUAAGAGGUCCAGCCUGCCCGGUGAUAAUAUUUAACGGCCGCGGUACCCUAACCGUGCGAAGGUAGCAUAAUCACUUGUUCUCUAAAUAGGGACUAGUAUCAACGGCAUCACGAAGGCUAUACUGUCUCCCCCCUACAAUCAGUGAAACUGAUCUUUCCGUGAAGAAGCGGAAAUUCCUCUAUAAGACGAGAAGACCCCAUGGAGCUUCAAACUCAAUAUCAACCACUUUCAAUCACACCAUUACAUCCUAGUGGCCCGUACUAUUAGUUUUCGGUUGGGGUGACCACGGAGCAAAGCACAACCUCCAUGAUGAACGGAUAACACCUUAUUCAAGAGAGACAUCUCGAAACAUCAAAACUUUGACAUAACUUGACCCAAUUUCAUUGAUCAACGAACCAAGUUACCCUGGGGAUAACAGCGCAAUCCAUUUCAAGAGCCCCUAUCAACAAAUGGGUUUACGACCUCGAUGUUGGAUCAGGGUAUCCUAGUGGUGCAGCCGCUACUAAAGGUUCGUUUGUUCAACGAUUA